CGCCUGGGGAGUGCGGCCGCAAGGUUAAAACUCAAAUGAAUUGACGGGGGCCCGCGCAAGCGGUGGAGCAUGUGGUUUAAUUCGACGCAACGCGAAGAACCUUACCUGGCCUUGACAUCCAGAGAGCUUUCCAGAGAUGGAUUGGUGCCUUCGGGAACUCUGAGACAGGUGCUGCAUGGCCGUCGUCAGCUCGUGUCGUGAGAUGUUGGGUUAAGUCCCGUAACGAGCGCAACCCCUAUCCCUGGUUGCUAGCAGGUAAUGCUGAGAACUCCAGGGAGACUGCCGGUGACAAACCGGAGGAAAGUGGGGAUGACGUCAGGUCAUCAUGGCCCUUACGGCCAGGGCUACACACGUGCUGCAAUGGCGCGUACAGAGGGCUGCCAACUCGCGAGAGUGAGCCAAUCCCUUAAAACGCGUCGUAGUCCGGAUCGGAGUCUGCAACUCGACUCCGUGAAGUCGGAAUGGCUAGUAAUCGCGAAUCAGAAUGUCGCGGUGAAUACGUUCCCGGGCCUUGUACACACCGCCCGUCACACCAUGGGAGUGGAUUGCACCAGAAGUAGUUAGUCUAACCUUCGGGAGGACGAUUACCACGGUGUGGUUCAUGACUGGGGUGAAGUCGUAACAAGGUAACCGUA
rnacentral:rRNA from 1 species